CCUUCCGGCAGGGAAAGUUGGUAGCUUGCCUGGAACUUUUGAGAGCACCAUCUCCCUGGACCAUGAGGUACAGCCUCCUCCUCUGUAGGCCGCCACGUUAAACACAGCAACUUCCUGCAAAGGAGAACAUCAGCAGAAAGACCUCACGGCUUUUGUGGAAAUCAAAUAACUAAGCUCAGUGAUAGGAAGUGCAACAACGCAAGGCAGUAAAACCAAGCCGAAGGCAACGGUUUGGAAAGGCACUGAUGUUGUCAA
rnacentral:lncRNA from 1 species